UACGUAGGGUGCAAGCGUUGUCCGGAAUUAUUGGGCGUAAAGAGCUCGUAGGCGGUUUGUCGCGUCUGCUGUGAAAACUCGGGGCUCAACUCCGAGCUUGCAGUGGGUACGGGCAGACUAGAGUGCGGUAGGGGAGACUGGAAUUCCUGGUGUAGCGGUGGAAUGCGCAGAUAUCAGGAGGAACACCGGUGGCGAAGGCGGGAUCCUGGGCCAGUACUGACGCUGAGGAGCGAAAGCGUGGGGAGCAAACAGG
rnacentral:rRNA from 1 species